GGGCGUGUGGCUCAGUUGGUAGAGCGUUCGCUUAGCAUACUUUGAGUGUAUGCGAAAGGUCCUGGGUUCGAUUCCCAGCUCGUCCA
rnacentral:tRNA from 1 species